UACGAAGGGGGCUAGCGUUGCUCGGAAUUACUGGGCGUAAAGCGCGCGCAGGCGGUUCUCCAAGUCAGUGGUGAAAGCCCGGAGCUCAACUCCGGAACUGCCAUUGAAACUGUUGAACUUGAGGACGAGAGAGGUGAGCGGAAUUCCCAGUGUAGAGGUGAAAUUCGUAGAUAUUGGGAAGAACACCAGUGGCGAAGGCGGCUCACUGGCUCGUUUCUGACGCUCAGGCGCGAUAGCGUGGGGAUCAAACAGG
rnacentral:rRNA from 1 species